UGCUGCUGUUAAAGACUUCUUCUUCCCCUUGCUCCCAAGACCUACUUCUGGACUUAACUGCUGCAUCAGGAGUAAUCACCUACAUACCACUAAAUCUUACCACAAUGGAGGAAGGAUUAUAAUCUUGCAAGGUCCUUCCUUCACUGCUGUUUUCAGAUGAACAUCAUCUUCAGCUGAAGCUUAGGUGAUGGGGGGUAAUGGUACAUCACAGAUCUGUACAUAGACAGAAAGAGAAUAAUGUCUGUAGCCUUAUAACUUCAGUGCUUAAUAUUGUCUUUUCAUCUCCAACUAAUGUAUUGAUAUCCUAAGGUGAUGCUGUUGCAGUUACCUUAAUAAAACAGUUUGAAUCCUAGAAUAUUAUUUUGAUUUUAGUUUGA